CGUGAGCACUGACAGAACAGGCACAAAGAGCAGUAACCACACAAACAUUUUGUCACUCUCGGACACGGGAGCAAGCUGUAUUUUCGUUAACAGAUGAGAAAUUGAGAAGGAACAGUGACAAAUAUUUAAAGGAAACUAUUAUGAUAGAGUAACUAUUAUGAGAGAGGACUACACAAUAAAAACAUGUGUAAAGGUUCUACGAAAUAAUUUCCAGUUGCGGAUGUGCGUAGGAAUAAUCCCGAGUACGACCCCGUUACGGUUUUCUUACGAAAGUACUUUAAAAAAGGGCUUUAGUGUCUUAUUUCUUACAGGUAACAGCUUCGAACUAAUAAAGACCAACGAAGUUUUAGUGAGUUUCAAAUUCUACACACUUCCCCAACUUACUAGCCUCUGCAAGGUUCACGUGACUUUCCUUGGGUA